UAGGCUAACGUCUAAAGGUGAUUUCAUGAUUUUGUCGGUUGAUCUGACCCAGCCUCGCAGUCUUAACAUCUACCUACAAGGUUUGUAUCCACUUGUGGUAGCUGUAAUUUCGGAUGCUUCUUCUAAGACACCGAUUAUCCAACUUACGCAAGUUGUGUCUCUUGCUCGUCACGCACUCAACUGCCGUUGUGUCUGAUCUUUCUCUCUCUGCUGCCUAGGGCUUCGUCCUCUUCUCGCUCCUAGUGUGUCAUUACUCUGUAGAGUUUCCGUGGAACUUGUAUGCUUGCUGUCUUAUCUUUUUUUGACAAGCGGAAUAAAUAGAAGAUAAUUUUUGGGGAGGUUGUUCAAAACUGCGUUUUUGAAAUCACGUGAGGUCAGAUGACGAGGGGUAAUCAGAGAGAGAAGGACCGUGAGAGAGCUGCUGCGAGAGCCAAGGGAUCUAAAGGGAAGGAUGAUGGUUUAACGCCAGAGCAACGCCGUGAGCGGGACGCCAAAGCCUUGCAAGAGAAACUGGCAAAGAAGGCGGAGAAAGCGCCUGGGUCCUCUUCGGCUGCUACGAAGAAAUGAUGCGUCUACUUUUGUUCACUAUGGCGAUUUUCAAGGUACAUAAUAUAAUGCAACGGCCUCGAUCAUCAGUACAUGAUCAGCAUUCUGGUGCCAUUCGUGAUGCGCUUUUGCUUAGAUAUCUGGAGCAAACUCUGUGUACCAUACACUUCAUAUGGUCGAAGAGUCUCCAGCGAAAGCAUCGUGCAGCUUUCUUUCACAAAUCUUUCCAUGCAAGUCUGGAGAUCAAGUGAUGCGUGAAACGAGCUUGCUGCACCAUAAGGCUGUCUGGCUGCUAAAACUAAAAAGGAUUGUCGCAGAGGAACAACACGUAAACCACCACGAAGCAGUGACAAGGAAGCUUUGCCAGGAAUCUAUUUGCCUAUCAGCUUCCUUAACAACAGAGCUAUUUGUCUUGUGCCUGUAGGAACAAAUCGAGAAACAGAUGGAGGAAUCUGGCAUAAUUUACAGCGAGUUGCUGGGCCUGCAGUAAAUGGGUCACAACUUGCCUUGUUUGCGUAUUUAUUUAUUUUAAUUUUGGAUAGACUCGCCCAUGUGUAAGAGUAUGCAUUUUAGACUCAUCCUUCGACUCCUGAUGGAAAGGGAUCACUUUGUUUA